rnacentral:rRNA from 1 species
AUUGAACGCUGGCGGCAGGCCUAACACAUGCAAGUCGAACGAGUGGCGGACGGGUGAGUAAUGUCUGGGAAACUGCCUGAUGGAGGGGGAUAACUACUGGAAACGGUAGCUAAUACCGCAUACCAUCAGAUGUGCCCAGAUGGGAUUAGCUUGUUGGUGGGGUAACGGCUCACCAAGGCGAAGAUCCCUAGCUGGUCUGAGAGGAUGACCAGCCACACGGGAACUGAGACGCGGUCCAGAUUGCUAUGGGAGGCAGCAGUGGGCAAUAUUGCACAAUGGGCGGAAGCCUGACGCGGCCCUGCCGCGUGUAUGAAGAUGGCCUACGGGUUGUAAAGUACUUUCAGCGGGGAGGCGUUACCCGCAGAAGAAGCACCGGCUAACUCCGUGCCAGCAGCCGCGGUAAUAC